UUGGAGGGCAAGUCUGGUGCCAGCAGCCGCGGUAAUUCCAGCUCCAAUAGCGUAUAUUAAAGUUGUUGCAGUUAAAAAGCUCGUAGUUGAACCUUGGGAUUGACACAUCGGUCGUGCCUUAAGGGGUAUGAACUGGUGUAGUCAAUUUCUCACCUUCUGGAGAACCGCGAUGUCCUUAAUUGGGUGCCGCGAGGAACCAGGACCUUUACUUUGAAAAAAUUAGAGUGUUUAAAGCAGGCAUUUUUGCUUGAAUACAUUAGCAUGGAAUAAUGAAAUAGGACGGCAUGAUUCUAUUUUGUUGGUUUCUAGGAUCACCGUAAUGAUUAAUAGGGAUAGUUGGGGGCAUUAGUAUUCAAUUGUCAGAGGUGAAAUUCUUGGAUUUAUUGAAGACUAACUACUGCGAAAGCAUUUGCCAAGGAUGUUUUCAUUAAUCAAGAACGAAAGUUAGGGGAUCGAAGACGGUCAGAUACCGUCGUAGUCUUAACCAUAAACUAUGCCGACUAGGAAUCAGACGAUGUUAAUUUUUUAAUGACUCGUUUGGCACCUUACGGGAAACCAAAGUGUUUGGGUUC
rnacentral:rRNA from 1 species